rnacentral:pre_miRNA from 1 species
UAUAUACUCCCUCCGUCCGGAAAUACUUGUCAUCAAAAUGGAUAAAAGGGAUGUAUCUAGAUGUAUUUUAGUUUUAGAUACAUCCCUUUUUGUCCAUUUUGAUGACA